rnacentral:rRNA from 1 species
AACGGGUGAGUAACGCGUGAGCAAUCUACCUUAGUUACAGGGAUAGCCCGAGGAAACUCGGAUUAAUACCUGAUAUUCUUUACAUUUCGCAUGAAAUCAAAAGGAAAGGUCAGCCGAACCGAGAUGAGCUCGCGUUCUAUCAGCUAGUUGGUGAGGUAAAAGCUCACCAAGGCAACGACGGAUAGCUGGUCUGAGAGGACGAUCAGCCACACUGGGACUGAGACACGGCCCAGACUCCUACGGGAGGCUGCAGCAGGGAAUAUUGCGCAAUGAGCGAAAGCUUGACGCAGCGACACCGCGUGUGGGAUGACGGAUCUAGGUUUGUAAACCACUUUCAGGAGGGAAGAAAAUGACGGUACCUCCACAAGAAGCCCCGGCCAACUACGUGCCAGCAGCCGCGGUAAUACGUAGGGGGCGAGCGUUGUCCGGAUUUAUUGGGCGUAAAGAGCUCGUAGGCGGUUUAACAAAGUCGGUCGUAAAAGUUCACGGCUCAACCCUGAAAUGUCGA